rnacentral:rRNA from 1 species
UACGCAGGGUGCGAGCGUUAUUCGGAAUCACUGGGCGUAAAGGGUGUGUAGACGGUAUGUUAAGUUCGUUGUUAAAGGCUCCGGCCUAACUGGAGUAUUGCAAUGAAAACUGGCGUGCUAGAGGGUGAGAGAGAGAAGUGGAAUUCCUGGAGUAGCGGUAAAAUGCGUGGAUCUCAGGAGGAACACCAAUGGCGAAGGCAGCUUCUUGGCUCAUUCCUGACGUUGAGGCACGAAAGCGUGGGGAGCAAACAGG